rnacentral:rRNA from 1 species
CUACGGGGUGCAGCAGUGGGGAAUAUUGGACAAUGGACCAAAAGUCUGAUCCAGCAAUUCUGUGUGUUUGAUGAAGGCCUUCGGGUUGUAAAGAACUUUAAGUAGGGAAGAAGAAAGUGACGGUACCUACAGAAUAAGCGACGGCUAAAUACGUGCCAGCAGCCGCGGUAAUACGUAUGUCGCAAGCGUUAUCCGGAAUUAUUGGGCAUAAAGCGCGUCUAGGCGGUUUACUAAGUCUGAUGUGAAAAUGCGGGGCUCAACUCCGUAUUGCGUUGGAAACUGGUAGACUAGAGUAUUGGAGAGGUAGGCGGAACUACAAGUGUAGAGGUGAAAUUCGUAGAUAUUUGUAGGAAUGCCAAUGACGAAGGUAGCUUACUGGACAAAUACUGACGCUGAAGCGCGAAAGCUAGGGGAGCAAACAGGAUUAGAUACCCGGGUAGUC